AGAGGGGUGGCUGAGUGGCUUAAGGCACUGCUUUGCUAAAGCAGCGGCAUUAAACUGUCCGUGGGUUCGAAUCCCACCCUCUCCG
rnacentral:tRNA from 1 species